AUGGAUCUGCUGCUACCGCCGAUUAGUGCUUCUCUUGGUGCCAUGGGCUCCCUUGCACACAAGCUGGAUGCGCUCCUCGAUACAGAACACAAGGAUGAGAUGGGGAAACUCGGAACCCGGCUGCUGGAGCUCUCCAAGGCACGAGACCCUCCCGUUACAGCGAGGAUCUGGAUGAAGGAUGUGCGCGAACUAUCCUAUGAUAUGGAGAACUUUGUCGACACUGAAGAAGAUUGGAUCCACAACAUGUCACCGUUCAUGGGCUGUGUGAAGGAAGCAAAUGCACGGUACGAGAGGUACAGGCUUGAGAGCGUCCCCAGCCACACAUAUGUCUUUCCAAUCAUCCACCACCGUGGCCGGAAGACAGGUCUAGUCGUCGGCCUUCAUGACAAGGGUGGCCCGGUUGAUAGGCUCUGCCAAUUGCUGACCGAUGGAGAUGAGCAGCUCAAGGUGUUAUCCAUUGUCGGUGUUGGAGGGAUCGGGAAGACCACGCUUGCCAAACAGCUAUGGCGUGAGCACAAACUCAGGGACUACUUCCACUGCCGGGCUUUUGUGCGGACGGCCAAGAAACCAGACAUGAGGAGGAUCCUAAGGAGCAUACUCGCACAAGUUCGUCCGCACCAACCACCUGAUGCUAGCGAGGUGGACGACCUCAUUCACGAUCUCACCGAGCAUCUACAGGAUAAAAGGUAUAUUAUUAUAAUUGAUGACAUAUGGGAUACAUCAGUAUGGGAUGUUGCUACAUGUGCUUUCCCAGAGGGUAAUCAUGGAAGCAGGAUAAUAACAACAACAGAAAUUGAGGAUGUUGCCCUAGCAUGCUGUAGUUACCAGUCCAAGUACAUAUUUAAGAUGGAGCCACUCAGUGUCAGUCAAUCAAAACAAUUGUUCACCAAUGCAGUGUUUGGCUCUGGAAAAGAGAAAUCUCCUCAAUUAGAUGAAGUGUCAGAUGAGAUUAUAAGAAUAUGUGAUGGUUUACCACAGGCAAUUAUCAGCAUAUCCAGUGUUCUAGUAAGCCAUAGGGAAGCAAAUGCAGUAGAGAACUGGGAGCACGUACAGAACAAUUUGCCAACAAGUACAACUUCCGACGAGAUACUGAACUUUUGCUACAAUAGUCUUCCCAGUUGUGUUCAGACAUGUCUGUUGUAUCUUGGCAUAUACCCGGAGAACUAUAUAAUCUUGAAGGAAGAUAUAAUGAAGCAAUGGGUAGCUGAAUGUUUUAUCCGUGCACCAACAGAGAAAGAAAAAAUGGAAGUGGCCGGGAGCUAUUUUGAUAUGCUUGUAAAUAUGGGCAUGAUCCAACAUAUAGACGUAGACUAUAGCAAUGCGGUAUUGUACUAUGCAGUGAAUCACAUGUUUGGCGGCGCACCAUUUGCAACUACACCAGCAAGUACUGGACUAUCACAAAUUCGGUCGCUUACUUUUAUUGGACUGAUGAGCUGCUUUCCUUCAGUUGUGGAGUUUAAGCUUCUUCGAUUUCUGAACCUUCAUAUUUGGAGUGAUCAACCGAGCACAUACUUCGACCUCAGGGUUAUCUGUGAAUUUGUUCUGUUGAGAUAUUUGCAGGUCACCUGCAGCGACACCGUAUAUCUUCCAGAUCAGAUGCAAGGUCUGAAACACUUGGAAACACUUGAAAUAAAUGCAAGAGUAAUAGUUAUUCCAUCGGAUGUUGUUCAUCUUCAGAGCUUGUUGCAUCUCCGUCUCGGAGGUGGGACAGAACUGCCUGAUGUGACUGGUAUACCCAGAAAUGUCACUGUGCCUAGUGUUGCCAAUUUAUUGGAUGAGUCAAGCAGUCCUCCAAAAUCAGUGAUGACAAUCGAGUUGUUGCCACCCAUUUGUAGAAUCCCCGAGUGGAUUGGACAGCUUAACAACCUCUGCAUUCUGAAAGUUGUCGUCGGUGAACUGCUAAGGGAUGAUAUCCAUAUCCUGGGAGGAUUGCCAGCCCUGACUGUUCUCACAUUGCAUGUACAGCGACGAACUACAGAACUAAUUGGCUUCACACCUAGAGCAUUUAAUGCUCUAGAAUAUUUUGAGUUCAGGUGUGGCGUACUGCGCCUGAUGUUUGAGGAAGGAGCAAUGCCCAAUCUUCAGAGGAUUAAGCUAGGUUUCAAUUCUCACAGAGGAGAACAGUACGGUCGUUUGCUUGUGGGCAUUGAGCACCUGUCAAACGUCCAGGAGAUUUCUGGAAUAAUUGGGUCAACCGUCGGUGCAGAGGAAUAUGACUUGCAAGCUGCAGAGUCUGCAUUCAAGGAUGCCACUGGCAAACAUCAUAGUAACGUCAGCAUAAAAAGAUCAGAUAUUGUUGUGGAAGAGUAUGGUCCUCUAGAAAAACAGCAUUUGGUGCGAGGGAAACACCCAUCGACAUCAAGUGAACAUACUGGAAGUCGGAAACAAGAGUCCCAGCAAGCUAUAAAGCAAAACUCCCAUAACAAUUCUCAGUUGAUUAGCAGGAGAAGUGAUGGCAACAAACAAGCAAGUGUGGAGCUACGGAAUGACCCGCGAUCAUCGGUGCAGAAGGUGAUCGUAAUCAAGAUAGUGGACAUUACAGACAAGCGGUGGAAGUCCAGUGCCUUCAAAGUCCUUUCGAAGUUCCAUGGGACCAAUUCGGUAGCGGCAAACGAGGAGGAGGGGACGCUAACUGUGGUGGGGGACCUGGACCCGGUGGUCGUAGUGCUGGCAUUACAGAAGGCCAAACUCAAUGUGCAGAUCGUCAGCAUGGGGUCGCAUAUCUUCUCAAUGGGCGAGGGGUUGAUGGACAAACCCGAGGGACGCAAAAUGCCUGGACGUAACCCGCCCGAGGGACAACAGAAGCCUGAAUCUAACCCAACCCAGCUGCCGCACAGUCUCAUCCCCCCGUACUCCCCUCCCUACCGGCCACCCCCCUACCGUCAACACCGACACGAGGUCCACCAGUCCCGGGAGGACCCCAACUCAUGUGUCAUCCAGUGA
rnacentral:rRNA from 1 species